rnacentral:lncRNA from 1 species
CUGUUUUGACAUCCAGCUGCGGCUAACUCCAAACUUAUGUGAGUGAAAGCUCGAAAUGAGGAAGGCCUUUUGUAUCGUGCAAAAGAGAGAACCAGUCGCAAUUUCGUAUUUAUUAUAUGAAAGAAAUUUGCGCUAUUGCACAGUUUCCGCAAACGGUACGACCGCAGCCUCCGAACCGGGUCCCCUUGGUGUGAACUCUCAUUCUUGAUAACACGGAUACGCAGGUCAGGUAGACAUCAAUAUGAGAUUCUUCUCAGCCGUCUUCCAGCUUCUCGCAAUUGCUGGCUUAUCUCUCUCUUUCGCAAGUGUAAACGCUGCCAACACAACAAGUGAAGAUUCCUGCGAAGAUAUUCAACUACCCAACGUGGAGAGUCUGAAUACUUGCCUUGGUCA